rnacentral:lncRNA from 1 species
GCACGGGGCACGGUGGGCGCUUGCUGUAUAACAAUAUAUGGAGCUUUCCACCGACUAUCGACUUAAGUUGCAACAAGCUUACAGGACCAAUCUGGCCAAGCUUUGGGAAUUUGAAAAACCUCCAUGUUUUGAGUCUGGAAGGGAACGACCUUUCAGGAACCAUUCCAGAUAGUAUGUCGGAGAUGACAAGCUUAGAAGAGUUGGAUUUGUCUCGUAACAAGCUCUCAGGCGAAAUACCUAAUUCCCUGGUACAUCUCAGCUUUUUGUCAAAAUUCAAUGUAUCAUACAAUGAGCUCUAUGGGGAUAUACCUUCAGGAGGUCAGUUUACGACAUUCCCUGAAUCAAGCUUUGAGGGGAACGAGGCUCUUUGCACUAGAAUGUUAAGACCAUGCCAAAUAGAACAGGUACCACCACUUGUAACUCCAGGUAAAAAAAUGAAGAUUGUGGAUUGGAAAUUUAGCAUUGGAGCGGCAAUUGGUUUUGUUCUCACUGUCUGCUUUUGCUUCAAAUCAGGCUGGGUACUUCCCAAAGGAUGAGAAGCUUAUCAAGGAUGCAACAAAUACUAAAUCUAGAACUGGGUGUUCCAUGGUGCUGACAAGCUUGUAAAAUUAGAUUUGGACAAUCUUUUUGUGUAUAGCUCCUCCCAUGGUUCUUUCUUCUUACUUUAGCUUCUUUUAAAUGGAAUGUAAUGAUCAAUGAAAAAUCAUAAAGCAUACUAUCAAAGUUCUAAUAUACUUCUAGUUUACGAAGUUUAAAAACAGAGAUAAGGCAUUUUUCCUUAACAGCAACACUGUCCGGAUCUUUUCAGCUUCAAGCCUUCAAUAUAUUUUUGUAAAAAUAUCUGAAACUCCAAGAGCAGAAAAAAUAAAAUAUCUUAUUACAUCUGUCAAUAUAUUUUUGAACGCUGCCCAAAAAUUAUAUUCUGCUGUCAAAAAGCAACUAUAAGCAUUCAAGACACGGCUUAGGCAUUGCACUGGGGUAAAAUAGUUGGAGGUACAAUAGCGUCCAUAUUCUUGCACAAUAGUACAGAAGAAAAUGCCUCAUCAUCCAAGAAAGAAAAAAGAGAAAAAUAUAUUUAAAAGGUCUCCCAUAUCCGUAUCCCUGCAUUAGAAUAAAGCGGGACAAGCAUGGGCUUCAAGCCUCCAAAGGCAUAAAAAGAUGCUACAAGUGUUUGAUAAUUACAAACAAAUCCUUCUAAAUUUACAGACAAAUACUCCCGAUAUCCCAUCAGAUCACCAUCAACAAGGCUUUUCAAAUAAAGCCCCCUUCAAAAGUUCUGUCCUCUAAACUUUCAGAACAUCUACUUAAGGCUGAUUGCAUUAAAUAUAAAUAGCAUUUACCUGUCCUAUCAAAAAGCAAAAUAAUAAAAUUUCUAUAGUGAACGGUUAUGGCUGUUAGCUGAAACCUCAAAAGAGCUUCUGUUUUCCUGCUUGUUUUCAUCAUCACAAACCUUCCGAGCCAUUUGAUUCUUGGAUCUCAUCAACUGAACUCAACUUUUCAAGAAUUAACCUUUCUUGCUUGGCAUCUAUUCCAUUGAAGUCAAGACAUCAAAAAAUCUUCUCUAUAAAAUAAAUUUUCAAGGGUAUGAACUAAACAUUAAUCAUGCAUGCAGAGAUACUGCAAUAACCAAGUUAUGGCUUCACCAUAAUUUUUAAGAACUCCAAACUAUAAAGUUCCAAAGUAACACUUCAGUAACAGCAUCAGAUAUUUGUCCUCUUAAUGGAAAAUUUUAGAUAAAAAUAUGGCUAAGUGGCUCUACUUAUUUGCAGAAAAUUUCUACAAGCAUUAGUUUCCGGAUAUGUCUAAAAUAGGUAUCCAGAUUGUGAUAGAAUUAACUCCCCAAAUUUAAGUUAUGUAAUUGCACCGUUUGUUUGUUGCUUGAAAAAAUUAUAUUGCUUUAGUGGCUAUAAGCAUUAAACACCCUAUCACACUUUUGGCAUGUAUAUGCAUAUCAUGUAUUCAUCAUGGAUUAUUUAUAAAGUAAGCAGAGAGCUGGCAAGGAUACAUUCCUGAUCAGGGUUCUCAGUGAAAUUGGAGUGCAGGGCAUUCCCUAUGCUGUCUACAAUGGCUGAGAUAGUCAUGGACGAUUCAAUGCAUAAAAUGGCUGUUAUGGCAUCUAAUCUUGUGACCUCAUUUCUGAACAUAAGCCUUGCAUGUGCUGCAACAUUAUAAGUGUCAACACCCACAUUGAUGAUUGGAUACUGCAGCAACAUUGCAAGCCAGUGUUUUGGCUCAUAAGGAUAAUAAAUCAACAAAUUCUCCAACAUACCUUGAGCCAGGCGUAUCAAGCUUUCAAGCAUGCGCACCGUUGUUCUUGCUGCAUAAUCCAUUAUGGUCUGAUCAAAGUGAAUAGAAUAAUGGCAAUCAUCAUCAAGUUGAAGGGAUUUCUAAAGGAGAAACCUGCAUUAUGUGUUCCUGAUCUCCUUUGGAGUUGAUAAUAGCUUGAGAUAACCUUUUCAGCCUCUUUUGUGAGCACUGGUUUAAAGUGCUUUUUUACAUAGUGAAUAUACCUGCAAGACAUCUACAAAAGCUACAAAAUCAAGUGAUCCAAGUAGAUACAUAAGAUUGUUGAGUACUUGGUGGUUGAGGAUAAAUUUUCUUCGAACAAGAAUUAUCUAGAAACCCCAACCAACCCUCAUCCCAAAAUAAUAAUAAGACGUUGCUAACAGAAGAUAGUUUAAAAUUUAAAAAAACUUUUACAGAGUGAUCUAAUAGUUCCUUGUAACCAAGGUGUAUUUACCUCCGAAGGAUGGGAAGCGGCCAGAUAUUUGAUAGAUCUUCAUCCCUCUUGCCUGCUUCAGAUUCUCCCUGAAAUUAAUUUCAAAUGGCAAUCAGGACAAUUAUAGUCAAAUCCCCCACCCCCCCCACCCCCCCUCUCUCCCCUUUUUUUUGUGGUCAGAGAUUUACAACUUUGUGAACACAUUACCUCAGCUAGAAUAUGCGAUGAUACAACUGCAUCCCAUUCAGGGUUUUUUGUAUCCAAGAGGACUAGGACAAUAUCAAAUCUGCUUAGUAAAGGACCAGAGAGUGCCGUAUUGACAGAGAGAGCUAGAUUUUGUUAAGAAUAAAUACAGUAUAAACAUAAAUAAGAGAAACAUUUAGGGAAGACUGUGAAAGCCAGAGAAAAGGGACUUGGGGGAAAGAACUGUUGAGAGAGCAGAGUUCCGAACAGUGAGUUCAAUUAUAUUCCACAUUUACAGACAAUGCUGAAUAAGGUAACAUGGAGGACAAAUUGUAAUUUUCAUAUUUAAAGGUGAAUAAUAACUAGCACAAUCAAGCAAUUCAAUUUUGAAAGGUCAAUCAAACUAGUUCUCUAAAUUGAAGUGAUACGUUGAUCAGGAUCAUAGUGUCCUUUGGGAUUUGUUGCACCAAAGACAAUUGUCCUAGUACUAAGAGUCGUAACAAGGCCAGCCUGAAAAAAAUAGAAAAAUGCCAAAACUUGUUUACCAGCCAUGCUUACACCAACCAGCAAGUAGAGUAUAAUAGCAAUCAAUUAAAACUAAAUAAAGAACAAAAAAUGGAUGCCACAUAACAAUAUUUAAACAAUCAUGGAAAAACAACAGCUUAUGGUAACAUUAAGUAUAAGUUGGUCAGCAAACUGCUUAUGCCAUGUAGGAGGCAAUGACAUCAACUAUGAACUUUAUAAAAUUCAACCCUCAACUUUCUCCAAGUAUUCUUACUGCAGAAUAUAAUGUGGGACAUGAGAUUUGGGCAGGAAUGAUCCAGGCCCAUGCAUAGGGAACUUGAUUAACAGGCUUAGCUUUUAGCUGUCAAAAAAGGCUCUUAACAAAAUCACUAAUACAUCAACUGGAUGCAAAACACAGAAAUGAAUGAUCUCAAAGAAUAUUGCAAAAGCUGAAUGAACUUAUUAAUCUUUCUUGAUAGCUUCCAAGCAUAAUGCAACCAAAUAUGCUAUUCUUGAUGUUUUCUAAGAGGUAAAAGAAAAUAAACAUGCGGUGAAGAUUUCAAUGAAGUUGCAAGGGCAGUUAUGCACUUCAAGAUGGAUAUAGAAAUAGUAUUGUACAGAUCCUCUAGCCUGCUCUAGCUAAAAUAAAUAAAUAAGGGAUAAACAACACCAAUGGUUAUUCUAGAAAUACCUAAAGCAGGAGUGAAAAAUAUGUUCUAGGUUUAAUUAUAACAGAGGGGAAAGAUAUGCUGAAAAGAAAUGUCAGCCAAAAUAGAGAUUUGCAAUGGAUUCUAACAGAAGUUAUUGUAAUGCAAAGUGGAAAAAACGUUCUACCUUCGCAACACUUAUAGUCUGCUGCUCCAUUGCUUCAUGUAUGGUUGCCCUGUCAUGCUCUCUCAUACUAUCCCACCCACCCCCCACCCCCAAAUAAAAAAAAAAAAAAAACAAAGAAGAAAUACAAUCAAACAUAAAUAAACAAAAAAAAAAGGUGCAGAUCAAUAACAAAUUUUAGUUGCCUCCUGAAAGAGCAGGCUCUUGAAUGACCAAAGAAAGCAACAUCAAAAGCAGCAUCAUAAGAGUGUAUAUUUAUGUAUACAUAAUUGUUAGUAUCAUAUAUUGAUAAUAAUACAAUUAUGAUGGCCAGUGUCAUGUACAAGAUGAAAAAACUACAUUGAGUCCCAGUAUAGUUCCUAACAAAGCCAGCUUUGAACAGGAAAAAGGAGGGUUUAAAUAUUGUCAUUCAAAGGAAAACAAAAAAAAAAUUCAUGAUAAUGAUUCAAAGGAGUACCUAUCGAAUUCAUCAAUACAACAAAGCCCUCCAUCUGCUAAAACAAGGGCCCCAGCUUCUAACAUCCACUCCCCUAGUAAUAUCAUAGAUAUAGUUAGCCCUCCAACAAGAUGAAACUUGCAUAAUUUGACAUAAAACAAGCAAAAGCCAUGAGUAUCAAGUGCUUGUCCUUCAAUACACAAAAAAAAUGACAAAACCACAAGGCCAUGCCAGCUCUACCACGCAAAACUUCGGUCAAACAACUUCUUUAACCCCCCCCCCCCCCUUCUUUUUUAAGUACUUUGGGGAUGGUUGAAGCAAUAAUAUUUUUUAAAAAAAAAAAAAUUUAGNNNNNNNNNNNNNNNNNNNNNNNNNNNNNNNNNNNNNNNNNNNNNNNNNNNNNNAGUACUUACAUAUAUCAACAAUCAAAUGGUUCAUUAUAGAAUAAUAUUUAGGUAAAGAAGUUGAAGAAAUGAAUUAAACAGACAGUGAUACCAACACCAUAAGGACAUAGUACAAAUACAAGUUCCACUUUCAUGAACCUUCAAAGUUAGACAGUCUGAAUUGUUUAAUGUACUUUCAACAUAUAUCCUACUUUCUAGCUCAAAUAACUCACUCACCUCCUUUCUACACCAUGGUCUGACAGUUGUUAUUGCCAUUAAAUUGUUACACCAGCCACCAGAAUAACAUAAUCAUCAUAGAAUCCCCUUUCAGUGAACUGUGAGCAUGGUUAAAUUUUCUGUUUUCUACAUAUCAAAAUCUAAAUUAUGAAAUCAUCUUUUUUUUAGUUUCUCUUGAAUUAUUUGAACAAGCAAGGGCAAAGCACUGUAUCUGCAGCCAAACUUUUGCCAGUUUUCAUGUGCUCUAGAAAUAUCACUCUUAGCCAGUAUAUGAUAUACUUCAGCAGAAUGAGCUUUAAUCAUGUUAUACAUUCCAUGUUGACUAUAACUCACAUUGUUGAAUCCAAUUCAUGAUUUUCUUCGAGUUCACAAAAUUAAUCAUGUUACAUAAUCACACUGUAUUACUAUCACCUAAAUAAUGACAAAUUUUCCGAAAGGCAAAGUGAAAGUUCAAAUAAAUGUGAAAUGAGAGUUACCACCAUCCUUGACUGCAGUAACAGUCAGUCCAGCACUAGUGCUUCCCAAGCCAGUAGUGAUGACAGAUCGGUUACUUAAUUUUGCCGCAAAUUUCAAGAACUGAGACUUUCCAGUACCUGUAAAAAAUUUACUUAAUACUUUUUACAUGGCAUCAAUCUUGCUAUUCUAACAAUUCAAAGAUAUGCACAUCCUGAAUCUUUGUAAAUCAUAGAGAAAUGUAAGUUGAGUAAGCAUGCUGAAACAGUCCAUAAAUACAUAAAUGCAUGUAACAAGUCCAUGUCUCAACUAUUUGGGAAAGGUUUGACCAGGUCCUUCUACUGAAUUAUGGUCUGAAUUAGGGGACUGACCGCACAGGGGGUUGGGGCUUUGGACAAAAAAUGCUUUCUCAGAUUAUAAACACUUGAAGUACUGCACAGGAUUGCAACCAAUUAUAAGUCUCUAGUGCCAAGAUAUUGAAACCUUGCUUAUGAAAUAAUAAAGUAGGUAAAUAAUCAUCAGCCAUGAUGCAGAUGAAUGAUAUUUUUCCAUAUUUCCAAGAAAACACCUCGUUCAAUUGCUUUCAAGGAAAAUGUCUCAAUGAAAGUGGUUAAUCAAUCCAAGCAAAAUUGUAAUUGUAGAUAAAUUUAAAAGCUAAAGAAGUGAACAUUCAAGAAAGAAGCCUAUCAUAUAAUAUAUUAAAAAGAAAAACUUUACCCGGGUCGCCAACCAGAAGCAAGUGAGACUCUCCUCGAAUCUUUGUCCCAGAAGCAUCAACAUGUUGAACGCCUCCAAUCAGUGUUAGUGCAACUGAGAUCAAGGAAGUAAAAGUUCAGUAUGUGCCUACUCAUGCAUUCACAUGUUUUGAGAGAGAGAGAGAGAGAAGAUAUUGGACGACAGAGCACCUGCCAGUUUUACGGUGAAGAGCCCAAAAACUUGGGGGCAAAUUCCUCGUAGAAUAGCAUUUCUCCCUGGGUGUAGAGUAAAUAAUAGGAAUAGCUUCACGUAAGUAAAUAUAUAAUUAUAGGAAAAUAAUGAAACAUGCCCCAUAAGGGAAGAAAGAAAGUAUGAAACCGCCAAAUGUUCACAAAGACAAAUUUCAUUUCUACAUGCACAUUUUGUAAGUGAAAAAAUACAUGACCAACUAUUCUUACCUUUCAAUGGAGUGUGUCUAAAGUCUGACCAGAAUUGCGUGAAUUUCAUAGUAAAAUCAUCAGGAAUAUCAAUGUCUGAUUUCAGCUCAUUAGUUCUCCUAAGAUGACAGAAAUAAAUUAAGAGAAAAAUAAGCAAGUGCAGUUAUUGUAAUUUCCACUUUAAAGUACUUUAGAAUAACGAACUGUUUUGACUAGAAUAAGACAAUUAGUUUGCAAAAGCAUGAAGGAAAUUAGAACAAAUAGCUGUUUUUUAAGGAGCUCAUAAACUCAAAGUAAAGCUUUUGAUGAGCUAUAAACAGAUGAAAGGGGGUGGGACAAGUUACAAAAGUGAAACAGGUUAACAUUUACCCAGAUGUUGAUAAAUGCAUUUCUUGUGAUUGUUUUGUACUCUGUUUUCACCCGUAGAUAAUAUAGGAAGGAUUGAGAAUCAAAGAGUACAAUUAAUUGACUUGCCAAGUACGCAAGGCUUUUACAUAAAUAAAUGUUAUUGGGAACAUAAUCUCAUUAUCAAAUAUGUGAAUGUCAUUUAAUCUCCAUCUACCCCUCUUGUCACUAUAAACUCAUUUUCCAACUUUCAGCUUGAUAUGUGUGCUAAAAAAUAAUUGAUUCAGUAAUUAGAAACCAUUUGCCAAAAUACAGAUGCUGCCAUGUUGGCCAGCAGAACUCAUCAAUUUUCAAAAUGGAGACCUUUCAAUAUGGCACAUGAUAUUGUAGAAAUGAUUAACAAGGGCACUGAACAGGAAAGUCACAUCAUCAGAAGGUCUAUAACUUGCCAUCAUUUAGUGUCAACUAAUUAUCUGAAUUGGAAUUUCAGUAUAUAUUGCUCAACUAAAUUACAUGAGGUCAAAAUUAUAAUAGGUCAGUAACCCCUUCAGUUGAUAAUCAAUUUGUGUUUCAGACCAAGUUACUAAGGAACAACUAUGUUGUCUCAAACAGAUAAAAUGUUUUAAACCUUAAGAGUUUUAGAUAAUCUUCCUUCUCUCUCCAGUUGUUUUUAUAAUGAUAGAAGCAUUACAGAAAGGCAACAAAAUCAAGGGUUUUGAUUCUUGUUACCUCACAUGGUUGGCAAUUAAUAUAGGAUCAAGGUCACAGCGCACAUCUUUUAAAUCAGGAGACCACUUAGCAGUCAAGAUCCCAGUAACAAUUACAUCAUCUGGACAAACAAGAGUUUAUAGCCCGAUGAAAAUUAGAUAAUUAAAAAACCCAAAAGCAAGUAUGAACUAAAUUAAAGAGAAAAAACAAAAACGAAGCAUUUAUCUACAAUGGAUUGCUAGCCAUGACAUCCAGAUGGUAUACUGAAACAUAAGGCAUGGUAAGGCAGAAGCUGCAAAUAUAAGAUAAAACAUCGUGUUAUACUCCAAGAAGGGCAUGGAAAACAGCUGGCAGCCGUCUAUAUAGCUUUCUCAUUAGUGAUACCUUAUUUCCCAGACUCCUUUAGGUUAGGUUUGUUACAGGACAAUCAUAAGCAUUAGAGUCAUAAUAGGUUUAAUGCUAAUUCAUUUUCGCUCAUUGCAGGCAAGCUCUGAAUUCAGUACAACUAACUUAUGAGCACUGUCAUUGCAGAUUUCUGAAAAGUUUGUUAGGGCAUUAACAUUUCCAGAUAAUAUCUUGGAAAUUAAAUUAAAAAAAGCAACUAAGUAGGUUGAACGACCUCCUCAACCUCUUAAUUUACUUUCUUGUCCAAGAUGUGUCUUAAUCAUAAGCUUGCAUUAUUAAAUUUGUGGUUGACUCUAGAAAAUCAUAUAUUCACAAGUUAUUGCUGCACAUACUAGACUAUGUUAAAUUAUUUCUGACUUUGGUUCUUGCUUCCUUCUGCCUCUAAAAGUUCAGUAUUGCUUGCAGGUUCACAACUUUUAUUCCGCAGCUACUCUCAAUCCCUCAUGUUUUUACCAUACGUAAUUCCUCUUUUAAUGAUCAAUAAUUCUAUUUAAGUUAGUUGAAUAAAAGCAAGUUGAAAGAAAUUUUUAGCCAGAUUGCUGAAGAGGGGAUCUUCCAUUUGCCACCUUGAACAACUACAACCCAGACCGAAACAAUCCUAUCUAUUCAAUUCAGGCAAUGGUUAAAGUCAUUAAACACCAUAAAAAUUCAUUUUGGCUGUUGUAGCUAACUUAGCCUGAAAUGUAGGCUUCAGUGUUUCCCAGCGAUAUUACUAGUACCAGAUCUUUGUAAUUGAAGUCGAGCUGUUAAACAAUGACUUCUUCACAAGAGAAGAUCCUAUCUCAAUUCAACCCUGACUAACCUUCUAUUAGAUUUUCCUUCUUAGAAAAACAUAAUGCAACUUACUAAAUCCAAUGGAAGACUGGAUUUAAUAUGUAAUUUAUGGUUAAAUUGUUUCUCUUAAACCUCAGUGAAUGCAUAACAUUAAAAAGACAAAGUACAUUCCAUAGCAGAAUAAGAAAAGUUCCCUAUGCGGACAGAAUCAAACAUUGGUAAUGUUCAGAAAAAAAAAAAAUGUAGAGAGAAAUGAAAAACCAGGCUUUGCAUAGUGUGGUACCUCCAGCUUUAACAAUGUCAACAAGAUCGUCCUGAAGAAUGACUAGAAUUGAACGAGGAAUCACACCAACGCCCAACACCUGUGUGCUUUCUUGAAUUUUAAUUUCCUGAUAAUCAUGACAGACUGUAGUAUUUUCUACGCACUGGAAUUUAGUGCCUUCGCAAGGAUUGGACCUCUGUUAUUGAACAAGAAAUCUGUUACCAAAAGUAUAUUUAUUCUAUAAUAACAACAUGUACCGCAGACAAAAUACUUCCAAAACUACAUUUUAAAGUAAUAAAACUAAGAAGAAAAGAGAAUCAAAACUCUUUCUUGCAAGACAAAAGAUCAAUUAAAGUGGCAAUAAACCUGAGAAGGGCAGAUUGAUGGAAGUGUUAUCGAGUUUCUUGUUUCAAGCUCAGGAUAAAGAGGAAACCUACAAAUAUUUUCAACCCAACUAUAGUCAGCUUACAAGUAGGAAUAUCAUGUGAGCUGCAAAAGGAAAAAGUAUGUGACAUGUAAAUUAGAUAUCGUGAAAAUAUGUUUGAGUGUGAAACUCAAAUCUAGCCCCUCAAAGAUAUAAAAGUAAAUUAGAUAUCGUGAAAAUAUGUUUGAGUGUGAAACUCAAAUCUAGCCCCUCAAAGAUAUAAAAGAAUGAAAGAGCUAAAACUUUGCAUUUGAAAUUAACUGAAUGUAUAUGCAUACUACCGAAUUACAAAUAUAAAGCAAUUAAGUUGCAAUUAUCCAGGUUUUUUUUGACAUAUUGAGUAAUAAUUGCAUCGAAAAAUAAAAUAUUUUGGACCUCUACCCACCACAAAAGUAAUCUGGUGCAAAAGCAGUGUAAUCCAAGCAGAGUGUGAUUAACUUCUAACAACCAGCACAUCUUACAUAAUUAGACGUAACAUGCACUGAUACUGACAUAAACAAGAAUAAAGUAAUCAUUCCGCAAGGAAACUAAGAGACUCUGGGUUUAAUGCUUGGCAACUAUUGAGUAUGCUCAGUUGAUAGCCUUGCUCAAUCUUGUUUAUAACUAGUACAAUAUGAAGAUCACCACAAGCCUCAGACACUGACUAGAACAUUUUCCAAACAACCAGCUUUCAAUCACUCAAAAGAGUUCUCUUAACUUGAAGAUACUUUGUUUAUGAAAGAAACUAAAGGAGUGAUGCCCCCAGAAUUAGAUUAUGCCACCUUUAGCUAGCAAGGCUACUGCUGACUGGCCUUGCUCUGCCAGAAGCUCCCUGUUUCUAUCCCUUAAGAUAGCAUGUUUCAUUCAGUAAGUCAUACCCCUUCCUUAAUACGAGUAAAAGAAAAGCCAAGAUUGAGCCAUUGACAGAAGGUACUAAUUCUAACCAUAAUUCUAUAAUCUGUACCAAGUAAUUUAGCCACAAGUAUAUACAACAAAGCUAUAUAAUCAAAGUAAACCAAAAUUCUGACAUUACAAGUACACUGUACAGUCGACAUACGUAUUUAUUGUAUGUGCUAGAAAACGAACUUACAUGUGCUUGCAUUUCUUGCACUGAUAUGUCCUCUGCCCCUCAUACAUCUUCACUGCUCCGGACCGAAUUACAGUCCCCUUGAGCGUAAGAAGAAUUCCUCGGUGUUUCACUCUCACACGCCCAAUACUAGGAAAAGUCUCUGUGCCACAUGCAAAGUCACCCAUAAAUAGACGAUACAAAGCAAAUAGCAAUCAAAAGGAAUAUAUAUGAAAGGAACUGAGCGCAUUGAAUAGAAGCAAACCAGGACAUUCAAGAGGGGAACCGCUGACAUUGAAUCGAACAUGAAUGAAUUUCUUUUCAACCCCUUUCUCAUGUGAUGCCAUGCCCUUCAGUACUCUUUUCUGUACAUACGCAUAUCAAAUGCAGGCAAAAUAUGUAGUUAAAUUACAGCUGCGAAAAUUUCAUAGAGAACUUAAUAUAUUUGCCCAUAGCCAUAUCAAAAUCCCUAUUUCUAGAUAUUUUCCUGGUCUUGGUCCAAAGAGGCAAAAACUACAUAAAGAGGUACACAUUUCAUACCCACUCGAAAUUCGUGAAUUUAGGAAGGUUAAAUCGGGCAAGCAAGAAUAUGAGCAAAAACCCACAUCCAAUCCUUAAUUCUGGAGGCUUUUUAUAAGAAGCAUAAAACUAAAUACAUUGUGUGUGUGGAUUUGAUUACGUGAGCCAAAAUGGCGGCUUCGUCAAAGAAUCUCAAGUAGUCUGUUGGGUUGGCGAAGACGAGGCGGGCUAGAGGAGGAUCGGCAUCCAUCAGCUCUGCAUAACUAUACAGCAAAAAAGAGAAAGAGAGAAUGGAAAUGAGAAAAAGACUAACAAAAGCUUAGAAAGAGAAGAAAGGAAGAGAGAGAGAGAGAGAGGGAUCCUACUCAACGAAGAGAGGGUAGUGGAGUUUAGGGUCAGGAGAGAGAGCGAUUGAGUGGAGCUGAUCGGAGUUGCAGCGUAGCAGAUAUUCCACCGCGGAAUGCAGCCUUAUUGGUACCACCUCUUCCUUAUGCGAAUCCAUGGCGUCAUUCGUUUGAUUAUGAUCAUAGAAUGAGAAAAGCCAAGGGCUAUCAGCCAUGGAAGGGCGGGAAAACGGCUCUAAAUACUUUGGAGAUGGCCCAUCAUGGGCUGGGCCGGUUUGGGCUUGAGGGCUUGAGGCACGUUUGGUUCACAAAACAGUUAAAUCAUUCUCAUUUAGUUCAUCCUUGAAUCAAGAAAUAAUGGCAAUUGUUUAAAAACAUGAAAUAAUUAAUACCGAUCUCCUCUUAGCAUUAACUAUUCUGCUCAGUGCGGAAUCUACCUCUGCUCACUUUAAGAAAUGAUUAAGCAAACUUAAGUAAUGCAAAUUAUUAUAUUAUUAAUAAUAAAUUACUAACCUUAAGUAAUAUUGUAAUAAAUUAUUAAAUCAUAAUUUUUUAAUGUUUUAAUGUAACAUUAUUAAUUAAUUAAUUUAUUCUUCCAUUAUUAUAAAAUUACUAAUAAUUUGUCCAUAACAAUAAUUUAUUCAUUCAUUAUUAUUUAAAUUAUUAAUUUAUUAAUGCAUUAUUAUUAAAUUAUAGAUAAUAAUUUAUUAUUAAAAUAUGAAUUAAUAAAAAAUUUAAAUUAUUAAUAUUUCAAUAAUAAAUUAUUAAUAUUGCUAUAAUAAAUUCUAUUUUUGACAAGUCAGUCAAAAUCACAAAUUUAUAUGUUUCUAAAAGAGGUACUGCACAGUUCAAGAAACUAAUACAUUCCAAUGCACAUGCCGCAGUAACAAGCUUGUAUAUCUAUGGGUAAUUAUUCAACAAAACUUUGAUCUCGUAAGAACUCAUCCCACUUGCAUCCUUACUUUGUCAUGGCAAACGAAAUGCCAAUACAGUUCUUAUGGUAUAAAAUUGCUUCACUUUAAAGAAAUAUGCAUUUUUUUUUAUUAUAACUACUUAGAUCUCUCGAUUUUCCCUUACUUCCAGAUUCCCAGCAGAAUUUAUUGCAUCUUUAAAACAUUGGUGUGAGCAAAAUUUUUGCGAAAAAAAAUAAUUUUUCAACAUUUCUAUGAGAGUAGCACCGUUUUCAUCAACAUCAACUUUUUCUUCAAAAGGAACAUCGAUGCGGUGCGGAUGAGGCAUAAUAAAAAUCAUUGACAUGCAUUGUUACCUUGUGCUUAUCACAUAAAUCACGAUACUAGUGGUGCAAUGUAAGAACCAUCAAUUAAUUUACAACACCGAUGCAUAAAAUUGAAACAUUAAUACCAUAAUAUGGUGGGAUGUUGUCCAAAUAGCGUAAUAAAUUCCUUCCAACCUUUGAAUGACCGGUUACCAUAGACUAUUUACGUAAGGAGUAGCCCCAAGGGGGAGUACAUGAUAGGCGGUGGGGAGGCUGCCCACUCUAUAAUUAACUAAUUUAGCCACCUGGUUCACUAAGCUGUGUUGGACACCCACACCGUAGAUAAAAACUCUUUUGGAAAUUUGUUUUCAAACUAGAGGCAACUUGAAAACAUUUCAGCAAACAUUUAACAUUUAGAAUAAAGAUAAGGUUUGGCUUAUAGAAAAUUACCAUGUUGUCUGCGUACUGAAGGUGGGACAUAAAAACACCAAUUGAGCUAACCUCUAUCCCUUUAAACAACCCCCUGUCCACUACACUAUUGACACACGCUUCAAAAGUUUCGACGGCAAGAUUGAAGAAAACGGGGGAUAAGGGACAAUCUUGUCGAAAGCCUCUACUCAUUUUAAGUUCUCUUGUUGGGGGGUUGUUAACGAGGACGGAGAUUGAAGCAGUAGAGAUACAUGACAUUAUCCACAUACACCACUUUUCAUCAAAGCCUAUCAACUUCAUGACAAAUUCAAGGUAGCUCCAUGCAACACUGUUAAAAGGCUUUUUCAAAAUUAACUUUCAAGAAAACACCACCGGUGUCAUUCUUCUUCAUUAUGUCCACCACUUCGUUGGCUAUUGAAAUUCCUUGCCAAUGAAAUAACAUGCUCACCAACUUUACGCCCUCGCUCAAGCCAAGACCGUUCUAAAAAGGAAGUGGAAAUGUGUACAAACUUAGGGAAAAAAGAAGAAACUAUGACAUUGUGCGUGUUGAUGGCAAUAUGCAGUGAUCACCUUUCGGCAAGAUAAUUAGUCCUGAGGGCUCAAAUCCAUCUGUGGCAAGUCAUCAGCUUCAUCUUGAAACUUGAGUAACUUCCGGUUCCCGAGAUAAUCAAUGACCCGUCAUAGAAGUUUGUCACAAGUAAGAGUGUGAAUAUAACCAUGAUGAGAGGAUAAAUUUUAUUGAUCCUUUACCAAAGAAAGGGACAGCAUCAUCCAUAUUCCUCAUUCUCUGCAUAUAGUUGAUGUUACAUGAGACUUCAAGUAAAAAAUAAUAAAAUAAAAGGUUAACCCAAACCAAUUUCUGUUCAGUAAAAAUGACAGAUUUAAAUGUCGUUGAUAUAGGGACUUCAUAGUGGAUGAAACUAAAAUAUUCCAAUAUAUAUGCCACAGUAACAAGCUUGCAUAUCCAUAGGUAAUUAUUCAACAAAUUUUUAUAAGAACUUAUCCCAUUUGCAUCCUUAUUUUCUCAUGCCAAAAUAAUGUCAUACAGUUUUUAUGGUAUAAAAUUGCUUCAUUUAAAAGAAAUAUACAUUUUUUGAAGGUUGGAGUAUUAUCUCAUCAAUUCUGGUUAAUUGUUUAAUAGUAUCAAAAAAUAAUUCGUUUUGACUAAUAUUUUAUAACUUUAAAAGGAUCAUUGUCACAUUACACCUUUUUGUAGGUGCUAAAUUGAACAUUGGCUUAUUCUUUGGUGUUACUUUUUAAUUAAUCUUAAUUAUAAAAAAUAAAAGAUAAACUUCACAUGAAUUUUUUAUAAUAUGAUAUGUUCUCACAUAGCACUUUGAAAUUAUUUUCUUCCUACAUAAAACCUUGUGAUGUAAGGCAAGGGGAGGAGGGGGCCUAUGUACAAGUAUCUACUUACACAUAUUGAACCUGCUGCUGCUGCUCUGGGUGGUGGAUCACAGUCAUCACCACGCACCCGCACAAUUGAAACAAAUGCUAAAAAGUGACUUGGCUAGCUUACAUGAAAUGCACAAAUAUGUUCAGGAUUGAUGCACAGCAGUUAGGCCUCUCAUCCAGCAAAGGUGGGAGGAGCUUGCUAAUUUAUCAUGUACAUAAAUCCUACAUAGGUUCGAGGCAUAGAUGCAGUAGUCAUAUCAAAAGAAAUAUGUUUGAUGCAAAGUGCAGGUGUUUUCUUUUCUUUUUACUUGGAAAAGAAAGAAAAAAAAUCAAAUUGUUAUUUGUUGCCUGAAAUUAUUAUACAAAUGAAAACAGUCUAAAGGGUUGUGGGGAGCUUUCUCUAUGUCCAACUUGAAUAUGUAUCUUUCAGAAUACAUUUAAGAAUCGAAAAAGUUAUUCUAAAAAUCAGAGUUUUCCUUAGCAGUGCAAUAAAUAAGGUAUUAUGUGAAAAAAAAAUCAUACACGUAAGUGAAAAAAAAAAACCUUAUUUUUUCUUUUUUUUUUAAAUCGGUUUGGUUUAUUUGUAAUAAUUCAUGAAUAAAAAUAACACAAGUUCUUUUCUUUCGCUUUGCAUUUGUGCCCUCCUUCGGAAACCCAUAUUGCUUAUUUCUGUACGCUUGGAUGGAGAAGAAAAAGGUCGUAACGUUUGCACCGAACACCUUCUGUCCGAUCAGACGCGGAAGCUUGAGCGCCAGGGGCCUGCCCACAAGCCACUUGACUCUGAUGCCGAUAAUGACGUGGUGGCGUCUGAUUCGCCAGGGGACAAGCGCCCCAGCCUUGAUGACGAGAAAAGUGGUGGGUCAGGUAAUCUUCAUAUUCUUUUCGUUUGUUUGUUUGUUUGUUUGCUUAAGGUUAAGGGUUUAUUAAUGUACAUUUCUUGGUUUCGAUUGGUGGAUAUCGAGAAUGAAUUUAUGGGUGUAAUUUUAUUUCUAAGGUUUCCUUGUGAUUGUUUGUGAUGCUUUUGAUUAAUUGAAGACGUUCUUUCGGGAACAGAAGAGUUGUUCGGGAGAAGAUUGUGGGGUUAUAGGGGUAAAAUAGUUGAACGUGAAGCGAGAAAACUGAGGGCCCUUUCAUCAACUUAACCCGUAGGGCAGGGAAUAAAGAGUGGGAGAGGUCUUGGAAGAAAAGAGAGUGCUGCAGAAAGAGGAAGGAGACCAACAAAAAUCAGCUAAAAUUUUUGUACUAAAAUUAGCCAAUCACAAUCAUGAUUUGGAAGGAACUAUCAAAAUAUUGUAUGAAGCUCACAUUAUAAAGGAUGGGCGCUUACAUAAUUCUUUGUUCUUGCAGUAAUCUCUUUCUCUUUUGAAGGAAGAAUUGCAUGCUCUAAGUGGCACUUUACCUUUUUAUCAGUUCAGAUUUUUUAGUUGCACAUCCAAACUAAUUUUAUAAUGCCAAACCAGGAAUGACUACUCCAAUCAAAGCCAUCAAACGCUAGGGAUAAAUAUAAGUCCUAGUUCCAAAGAUAUAUCAUUCUAUUAUAUAAAGGCUUCUUUGAAACAUCUUUGAUUCAACCUGUAUUAGAAAUUUGUUCUGUUUCUCUUUAUUUUAUUUUCCCAGUUUGCUGGUAAUUUUGACUUCAAGUUUCAUGCUCAUAAGUGAACAUUGUUCUUUCUCAGGAACUGCAGAACUAGUCACUGGAAAAAGCAAUUUUGAAAGGCCAGUUGUAUACUCUUUCAAUGAUUUAAGAGCCUUCACCAACAACUUCAGUGCAGAUAACUUGAUUGGAUUAACUCAAUUUGGUAGACUUUACCGUGGGAAGAUUGAGAAAGGAAAGGAAGCUCGAUUUGUUACAGUAAAGACGUGGGAUGAGAGAUCAGACCGUUUCUUGUACCCUCCAAAUAAGACUUUGAUGCUCAGGGUAUGUUUCUGAGAUAAUAUUUUUUCUUCAUUGCAUUUUCUUCUACUGAAUUGUUUAUGAUGGCUGUAUUUUCUGUGUUGCAGGAAGAAGCGAUGCUUUUAACUCAUCCAAGCAUGAGGGGUCACCCAAACUUAGUCAAAUUGGUUGGUGGUUGCCGCCAAAAAGAGAUGAAGGCUGCUGUUUAUGAUCUGAAUCCCCUGGAUACUCUGCAUAACUAUAUGCAAAGGGGUACCUUCAUUGUAAGUUUUAUAUCUGAUUCUACUGCAACCCUUUUUAUUCUUUCUACCUGUAAAUUUUGAUUUAGUUGUAGAGUGGUUUGAAACUAUGCUAUUAUUCUGUUUGAAGAAGCUUAGUAAAGUAAGGGAACAAGGUAGAUUGAAAGUUCACUAAAGUUUAUCGUAGGGAAAUUAGCGAUAUGUUUUCUCCUCUGUUGCUCCAACUCAGCAAAUUAGCUGGAAGAAUCUGUGUCUGACCAACCUGACAAAUGUGGGCAUUAUUUCAUCUGCCUAGUUGUCUCGUUAAUUUUCUUUGUUUAUAUUCGGCCAAAAGAAUAGAUGGGUUCUUGACAUCAUCACCAUGCAUAGUCCAUUCUCUUUUUUUAGAUUUAGGAGGCUACCUGGUAAAGUAAUAGAUUUCAGUACCCCCGCCCAUAUUUGGAUUCACAUCUAUAUAUCUUGAAUAUUAAGUUUUGACAAGCUAGAGUCUUAGAUCACUACCAACACUGAGUCAAAGCAGCAUAGGUUUGCUGGCAAGCAAGGGAAAUACUUUUUGCAGUAUAAUUAAUUGGUGAAGUCUUUUCAGAGAUGAAAAGAGUGGGAUGCCUGCAUGUGUAACUCUCAUUUCUGGGAAGUUAAUGUUUUGAUCUUCAAAAUGUAUAUGUAUGCAUUGAUGGAAAAAUAUACAAUAGCAGAUGACUUGAUUUGUAUUUCAUGCACAGAUGAUUUGAUUGGAUCUAAAAUUAUUGGGGUAGCAGUUAGAUCAAAAACCUAUUCAGUUAAUUUUGGAUUGUUUGGUUUGUAUUGCAUGUGUAGAUGAUUUUUCUUGGAUCCAAAGAAUUAAGGUGGCACUUGCAUUUGCCCAUCUUCUGAUGUUUCUACAUUGUCGAGAUGAGCCUUAUGUGCUCCACAAUAUCGAUACACGUCAUAUAAUGCUUGAUCAGGUUUAUUUUCACAGCUUACCUUCAGAUAUGACGUAUUUAUUGUUGAAUCUAUUUUCAACAUUAUAUUAAAGCUUUUAUUUUAAUAAACAGGACUGUAAUCCCAUUCUGUUUGACUUUGGACUGAUAAGUGGAGGAAUUAUUGGUAAGAUGAGCUUUGUAAAAGACCGCGCAUUCAUGACUCCUUGCUAUGGUGAUGUACAUUCGUUUAAAAUAGGUGAUUUAUCCUUUGCACUUAUGCUAUUUUGAACUGAAUGUAGUUCAUGAUGAUGGAAAUGCAUCAUUUGAAGUGAGAAGAAGCCAUGUCUCCAUAUGAGUCUGCAUCUUCACUUUAAAAAGUGAAUGAUAGGUGAUGUUUGUUCAGGUUGCUUGGUUAUUAAUUAGCUUGAUAGAUUUCUACAUAAAAAAUCUAUGAAGACACUUUUACAUAUUAUAAAACCCACAAACUCAUUUUGAUGAAUUUGAGUCACAGAUGGACUUUGCUUCAACCCAUGGUUUCACCACUGUGGGUUGCAAAAAAUCUUGUGUACUUUGCUAAAUUGAUAUAAUGAUAACUAAUGACCCUAGCAUCUACAGUAUGGCCUUAGUGUGCCUCUAGAUCUAAGCCUUAAUCUCUUGCAUCGGAGUGCUUGUUCAAAGUUGAUAUGAUUAUUCUUGUAGGUGGAGCUGCUGGAAAGCCAAGUGUGGGGAAUGAUGUGUUUUCAUAUGCUGUGGUUCUCCUGGAGCUGAUAUCUAAAAGAAUUACUACUGAAGAGGAGGGGUGCAGUGAUGAUGCUCAAUUCACAGAUAACUGGGCUCUGAAAGAAUAUAAGCCUGGAUAUUCUCUUGUGCCCCAGAGCUUGCAGAAUCAGUCCGGCUAUGGUGCUAGUGAUGGACUGACUAUAACAGAGUUGGCAAUGCAGUGUAUAAAAUAUUACCCCAGUGAGCGACCGUCAAUGGAAAGGGUAGUUGAGUGUCUAGAAAAUUUGUCAGUUGUCAAAACCCACGGUGGAGAAAUGCUAUUGCAUGGAUUGUAGUAUGUGAUUUGCUGGGAAUUCCUUCUGUAUUGGCCUAUUAGAUGAGCUAAGAAUUCCUGUUACUUCCGUGCAACCCAGUACAUUGGAAAAUCAUGUACUUCCUAACUUUUUUGCAUUGAAUUUCUUUGUUCAUUUCGCUAUUAGGGUUACUUGUGGUAUGUUCUAUUUUUUGUUUAGCACUAAAAAGAAUAAUCGUUUGAGGAAAUUAAGAAAAAUAACUCUUUUCAUAAGUUUAAUUUAAAAAUAUCUGUUAUUAUAAUUUUAAUUAUUUUUAAUCAACCUUUGAUAUUACUUGACAAUAAUAUUUUUAAAUAAUUAAAAUAAAUUAAAAUAAUUUUGAUUUUCUCUAUUUUACUAUUUAAAUAAAAAUUUUAAAAUUAAAUUUUUGAUUUGUUUUUCUUGUCAAAUAUUGUUUAUUUCGUGAUUUAACUUUUUUCGUAUCUCAAAGUUGACAGAUUACAAUUGAUUAAUUAUAUCUGUAAAUUAGAAUAUUGUUUGACUUUAGUAAUUUAAACUUAACUGCGAAUAGACAAAUCAAUUAGUUAGAAGGUAUUACAUUAUUAGUUUUUAGGUAUUGUGUUAGUGAUUUUUAUAUAUUGUGAGACUGAUUUUUAAUAGUGUGACUUGAUCAUUACAUUUUUUGUUUUCAGACAUUAUCUGAUUUAGACAUUGCGUGAUUGGUUUUAGAGAUUACGUGAUUAGGUUUGUAUGCAUUGUGUGACUGAUUUUUAGAUAAUGUCUAAUCAUGCAAUGUCCUAUUAGUCAGUCACGUAAUGCUUAAAACUUUACGGAAUUGGUGCAGGUUGCACACAUCAUCUUCGUUAAUCUCGCAAGGAGUCCUCCUAGACCGUUUUUCAUACUUCCCAAAUUAUCAUUUCCGUCAUCAUAAGAAUCCAAAAGAUGUAUACCUUCCACCAUGUCGACAAAAUCGUUAUUGGAAGGCGACGAUCUCCUGUGGCCGACCACCUAUGUCAGUUGCAAGUCCCACAUGGUCUGCGACAUUUGGGAUACGCAACCAAAAAAAAUUUAAUGGAGAUGAAAUUCACCAAAAAGGAAGACCCAUAGAGCAAGUUAGAUGAAAUCUCUACACUUUUCUCGUUCAAUCAAAAUUAUGGUUAUAACGGCUUUAAUCAAAAUUUUGUCUUCUCAGAUUGUUUAGGAAUUUUGUAGAGUGGGGAGUUUGAUAAACAUUUAAUAUCUUUGUUUGCAACAACAAUAAAUCAAAUUAGAUUUAGGUUAUUUUAAGUUCUUUUUAUUCUAAAAAUAUAAAUAAAUAAUUUUAAGAUAUGUGAUUGUGAAAAAGAAAAAAAAUUAAAUCAAUCGCUAAAAAUCCAAUCAAUAAUAUUAUUGGUCAUGUCAUCUACCAUAUAGACUGUGUGACAAUAUCAAAUUUUAAAAUAACUUUUUUUAUCGAAAGGCUAAACUUUAAAAUAAUUUACCAACUUGAUUAACAUAAUUAGUCAUUAAUUAAUAAUGAAAAUGAAAAUAAAAAUAUUUAAUUAAAUAUAAUAAAAAUGUCAAGAUUAAGUUAAAUUUUUUAAUAUAAUUCAAAUAUUCAUUUUUCACAUAUUAUACCUUUUUUUUAAUACAAAAGUGAGAGGAUGCCUUAUGACAUGCACGCUUAGUAUACCAACAACACAAUUUUCCGUUUGCUAGAACGAAGAUAUUACGUCAACAAAACACAAGGAUUUUGGGAUGAAAAGGUAGAAAAAUGGGAAAAAAAAUAAAGUUAACUAGAACUUAAUAUAUAAAAAAAAACCUUCUUCAUUAAAUUAAAUUGUGAGCAAUUUUGUCAUUAAAAAAAUAAAUAUUUAAAGUAUAAUACUUUAUGCCAACAAUAUUAUAAAAUAUCAACUGUGGUGAAAUUAUUAGUAAUUUUUUAUUUUAAACGAAAAAUUUCUUUAUCUUUAAAUUUUGAAUCAAAUUAAAAAUACAAUUGACUUUUCAAUUAAAAGUGCAUGAUAAAUUUGAUCGUUGUUCUAAGUAAAUGGAAAAAUUAGGAUCGUUUCUCUAUUAUUGUUUAGUUUAAAGCCUAACAAAAUUAAAUUUUGAUUCAAUCUUGAAUUUUUCAAACCACAAAAUUAUUCAAUCAGUGAUGAAUAUGCGAUAUUUAAGUUUUUACAUAUUUUACAAUAGUUAUAUAUAUUGAUUGUAAAUAUCAUCAAGCAACAUCUUAGUGGUUAAAAACAGCAAAAAAAAGAAAAACAUCUUAAUGGUUAAAUUUAAAUUUUUAUCUUAAAGAUCUCGAAUUUGAAUCAUGAAAUAAAAGAAAAAAAACUGAACUUUAAUAAAAAAAGUUGAUUGAAGAUCAAUUUCAAUGGUGGCAAAAAAGAUACAGCACGUUUCUAGUGAUGGAAUAUUAUCUCAUCAGGUCUGGCUAAUACUUUGUUGUGUGUCAACAAAAUGAUUGCUUUCACUAGCAUUUUUAUAGCUUUAAAGUAUCAUGGUCACUCAACACAUUUUUUUCAGGUGCGAAAUUGAGCAUUUGCUUAUUAUGUCGUGCUAAUUCUGUUGUUAACCCCAAUUUUAAAAAAUAAAAGCAUAAGUAGGUUUUUCUUUUCUUUGGUGGCUCGGUUUGGUUUGAUUUCGUUGUAAUAAUUCAUGAAUAAAAAUAACUCAAGUUCUUUUCUUUUGCUUUGCAUUUGUGCUCUCCUUCGGAAACCCAUAUUGCUUAUGUCGGUAUGCUUGGAUGGAGAGGAAAAAGGUCGUAACGUUUGCACCCAACACCUUUUCGUCCGAUCAGACUCGGAAGCUUGAGCCCCAGGGCCCUGUCCACAAGCCGCUUGACUCUGAUGCGGAUAAUGACGUGGUGGCGUCUGAUUCGCCAGGGGACGAGCUCCCCAGCCUUGAUGACGAGAAAAGUGGUGGGUCAGGUAAUCUUCAUAUUCUUUUUUUGUUUGUUUGUUUGUCUGUUAUACCUUGGGGUUUAUUAAUGUACAUUUCUCGGUUUCGAAUGGUGGAUAUCGAGAAUGAAUUUAUGGGUGUAACUUAUUUUUCUUGGUUUUGAUUGGAUCUUUGAUUCAAUCUGCAUUAGAAAUUUGCUCUGUUUCUCUUUGUUUUAUUUUCCCAGUUUGCUGGUAAUUUUGACUUCAAGCUUCAUGCACAUUAGUGAACAUUGUUCUUGCUCAGGAACUGCAAAACCAUUCACUGGAAAAAGCAAUUUUGAAAAGCCAGUUGUGUACUCCUCCACUGAUUUAAGAGUCUUCUCCAACGACUUCAAUGCAGAUAACUUGAUUGGAUUAACUCAAUUUGGUAGACUUUACCGUGGGAAGAUUGAGAAAGGAAAGGAAGCUCGAUUUGUUACAGUAAAGACAUGGGAUGAGAGAUCAGACCCGUUUCUGGUACCCUCCGAAUAAGGGUUUGAUGCUCAGGGUAUGCUUCUGAGAUGAUAUUUUUUCUUCUAUUUAAUUGUUCAUGAUGGCUGUAUUUUCUGUGUUGCAGGAAGAAGUGAUGCUUUUAACUCAUCCAAGCAUGAAGGGUCACCCAAACUUAGUCAAAUUGAUUGGUGGUUACCGUGACAAACAGAUGAAGGCUGCUGUUUAUGAUCUGAAUCCCCUGCAUACUCUGCAUAACUAUAUGACGAGGGUACCUUCAUUUUAAGUUUUAUAUCUGAAUCUACUGCAACCCUUUUUAUUCUUUCUACCUGUAAAGUUUGAUUUUGUUGUAGAGUGGUUUGAAACUAUGCUGUUAUUCUGUUUGAGGAAGCUUAGUAAAGGUAAGGGAAUAAUGUAGAUUGAAAGUCCACUAAAGUUUAUUGUAGGGAAAUGAAAGAUAUGUUUUCUCCUCUGUUGCUCCAACUCGGCAAUUUAGCAGGAAGUGUCAGUGUCCAACUGACCUGACAAAUGUGGGCAUAUUCCUGACUUGCUCUGGAGGCUUUGCAUGUAGAUGUGGCUUCCUAAAACUAAAGUGUAAAAAGAAAAAGAAACAAGUAGAUACGAAUGAAAUGGUGGAGGAAACCAGAGAGAGAUCAAGAACCAGAGAAUAUAAGAAACAGAGGGAGUCCCUUAGGCUUUUGGCCUUUGUUCGUUUUGGUUUCAAAUGUGGGUUCUUGGUGAAAGCACCUAGUUGCUGGGCUUCUGUCUAGUUGUAUCGUCGAUUUUCUUCGUUUACAUUGGGCCAAAAAAAAAAAUAGAUGGGUUCUUGACAUUAUCGCCAUGCAUAAUCCAUUAUUUUUGUAGAUUUAGAAGUCUAUCUGGUAAAGUAAUAGAUUUCAGUACCCGUGCCUGUAUUUGGAUUCACAUCCAUAUAUCUUGAAUAUUAAGUUUUUUCAAGUCAGACUCUUAGAUCACUACCGAGUCUGAGUCAAAGUAACAUAGGUUUGCUGGCAAGCAAUUGAAAUACUUUUUCAGUAUAAUUAAUUUGUGAAGUCUAUACAGAGAUGGAAAAGAGUGGGGUGCCUGCAUGUGUAAGUUACAUUUCUAGGAAGUUAAUGUUUUGAUUUUCAAUGUGUACAUGCUUGCAUUGAUGGAAAACUUUACAGUAGCGGAUGAUUUGAUUUGUAUUUCAGGCACAAAUGAUUUGAUUGAUCUAAAAUUAUUGGGGUGGCAGUUAGAUAAAAAACCUAUGCAGUUAAUUGUCCGACCGAUUUGUAUUGCGUGUACAGAUGAUUUUUCUUGGAUCCAAAGAAUUAAGGUGGCACUUGCAUUUGCGUGUCUUCCGAAGUUUCUACAUUGUCGAGUUGAGCCGUAUGUGCUCUACAAUAUUGAUACAACUCAUAUAAUGCUUGACGUGGUUUAUUUUCACAGGACUAUAAUCCCAUUCUGUUUGACUUUGGACUGAUUAGUGGAGGAAUUAUUGGCGAGAUGACCUUGGUAAAAGACCGUGCAUUCAAUGGUGAUGCACUUUGGUUCGCAGUAGGUGAUUUAUCCUUUGCCCUUAUGUUAUUAUUUUUUUUUAUAAUUGGAGAAGGGAAUUUGAACUCUGCUCUUUAGGUAGGGAGAUUAUACAUCAACUAAUGAGACAAAUAUUUGGAUGUCACUUACGUUAUUUUUAAUUGAAUGCAGUUCAUGAUGAUGGAAAUGCAUCAUUUGAAGUGAGAAGCCACUUACGUUAUUUUUAAUUGAAUGUAGUUCAUGACGAUGGAAAUGCAUCAUUUGAAGUGAGAAGAGGCCAUGUCUCCUUAUGAGUCUAUAUCUUCACUUAAAAAGUGAACUCGAUUAUUAAUAACCUUAAUCAUUUGAAGUACUCGAGUAUUUGGUUCAUUAGUUGGUAUAUUUAAUGAUAAAAAUUCUUAAAAUAUAAUAUAAUUUUAUAAAUUAAUAAUAUCAAUUAAAUAAUACUUUUGACCAGUCUUGACUUGAGAUUAAUAUGAUAAAUUAAUAAUUCGUUAAAUUUAUAAGAUAAUAUAUUUAAAAAAACAUAUAAGUCUCACUUGAUCUAUAAAUUAAUAAUCUCCUUAUAGGUCAAAAUUAUAGUCAAUACCCACUUAUUUUUUGUAAUUGUGAAUUUUGUCUAAUUUUAUUCCUCUACCCAAAAUCAAAAGGUGAUUUGAUAAGACCACAUCACUUUCUAGGUUCAUGGUACUGACAUGACUACCACGUCGCUUUUUAUGAACCUUUUUUUUCUCUUCACCUAAAAAAUAUGUGCUCACAAGGUUCAAAUCAAGACUUCUAACAAGCAUAUGUAAGUCCUUGUCACCAUACCUAAGUCAUAACUUUUGAUUAAUUCUUGCUUUUAUUUCUUUUCUUUUUUCUUUUUCUUUCUUAUUUUUUUUAUUUUUCUCUAAAACUACAUCAUUUUAAGAGUUCUUACACUCUUAAAAACCCUAAUCAUAAAAGUAUUUUUUUUUCUUUUUUUCCCUUCAAAAGAGAAAAAAAAAAGAGGAGGUAGAGAGAGGGGAAAGGAAAAAAUGUGAAAAAAAAAAUUUUAUAACUAAGGUUUUUGAGAGUGUGAAAAAACCCAAAAAGACGUAAUUUUGGGAGAAUAAAGAAAGAAAGAAGAAAAGAAACAAAAGUAAGAAUUAAUAGACAGCAAAGGCUUUGAUACGGUGGCAAUGACCUCGGCAUAUUUACUAGAAGUCUUUGAUUCGAACCUCAAUUAACGACUAAAUUAAUUAUAUAUAAAAGGUCUUUGUAAAAUAUGAUUCAAAUGUUACUUAUUUUCUCUUGAAAUUGAUAUCUCUUUAAAUUUCUUCUGUAACUUUUUUUUCCUAAUGCAUUAAGAAAUUAAUGUUUAGUAUUGCAUGAGAAAAAAAUACACAACACAUACAUAUUAAGUUCAAUAUUUUGAAAAAAAUAAAAAAUAUCUUGAUAAAUUAAAUUUUUAUUAAUUGAUGUAUAAAUUAAUAAAUUAUUAAUUUAUUGAUUGAAUAAUAUCUCGAUUAAUUAAUAAACUUUGUAAUCCCGAAAGUAUUAAUUUAUAAAAAUUUAAAUAUAUUCGAUUCAACAAAUAAUAUGCAAACAUUCAUAAUCACAUGACUAAAUUACAAGAUCUUUGUAAAAUAUGAUUUCAAUGUUAUUUGUUUUCUCUUGAAAUUUUUAUAAAAUAUGAUUCCAAGUCUUGAAAUUGAUGUCUCCUUAAAUCCCAUCUCUCUUUAAAUUUCAUCUCUAAAUUUUUUUUAAUGCAUUAAGAAAGUAAUGUUUCGUAUUGCAUAGAAAAUUAUACAUAAUACAUACAUAUUAAGUUUAAUAUUUUGAAAAAAAAAUAAAAAAUACCUUGAUAAAUCAAUUUUUUAUUAAUUAAUACAUAAAUUAAUAAAUAACAUUUUAUAGAUUAAAUAAUAUCUCGAUUAAUUACCAAAUAUCAUAAUCGUCUAAGUAUUAAUUUAUAUAAAUUUAAAUAUAUUCGAUUCAGCAAAUAAUAUGCAAACAUUCAUAAUCAGUGAUCAACCUUACAAUGUUUACUAUUACAAGUGCACAGUAUCCCACGGAUCGCAUAUGGUAUCUGCUGUUUUAACUGUUUUCUUUCUUGAGAAGGAGAGUGGUAGCAAAAUUGUGUGGCUUUGGUAGACACUGAAUGCUACUUUACUGCUGUAGGUGAUGUAAAUUGUAUUAUAGUUGGCAUUCAGCUUGCCUCAUAAACACACAUCUUUUAGACUUGGUGUGAAAUGAACAAGUCUUCUGCUAAGUCUGUUCCAGGAAUAGCUGUGUUUAUAUGUGCGGUACGACUAUCCAGAUGGACCAAAUUUACUGAAUUCCUAGUCAUGUUCAAGAAGAUCAUUCUCAGCACCAUAGUCUCUAAGGUCCAGAGUUGGUCGUUUCAAUCUUUGGAAAAUUUCAUCAAGAGAUUCAGACGAGGACGCACCGGCGGACAUUGUAUUUUCUCGAGUCCAUCGUAAAGGGAGGAAUUUCUUUGCUUCCAAGUCAGAUUUGAAAUUUAGAAGACCAGACUUCAUUGAUUCCCAUUUUGAGGCUAAUCCCCCUGAUGGUGGUGUCAUUGCACUUUCAGAGUUGCCAGCAUCAACCGUUAAGGAUGUCGAGUCCUUUUGAGUUGAAUUCUCGUUGGAUGCUUGUGUGUUCUGGUGUGCCCUUAUUCCAGAAUAUUUCUUGCUAAUGGCUUCUUUGCUUGUGUCAUGCUGAGCCUCUUCUUUCAGAGGUGUAAGUUGAUCUCCUUUUCCAAUUUCAAUGGCACUUUGUGCUCUUGUAUCUGUAGCAGCCUUAUCCUGAUACCAUUUUCAAGUAAAAGAUCAAUUACAUGAUAAAAAGAAGGAAAAAGAAAUAAAAUAUCGAAGAUGCUUUAAAGUGUGCAGCAACAAAGUAAUUGGCAUGCUUUGCAUAUAAUAAGAUAGCAGUUUUCAAUACCAGAGCACACAUACUGUGUUAUUACUGCCAGGUUCAAUGUCAAUGCUCAUGCUGUUGAAAUUCCUUGCCAGUGGAAUAACAUGCUCACUAACUUUAAGCCCUCGCUCUAGCCAGGACCGUUCUAAACAAGAAGUGGAAAUGUUUACAACCUUAGAGAACGAAGAAGAAACUGUGACAUUGUGCUUGCUGAUGGCAAUAUGUAGUGAUCACCUUUCUGCAAGAUAAUUAGUCCUGAGGGAUCAAAUCCAUCUGUAUCAUCAACUUCAUCUUGAAACUUGAAUAGUUUCCAAUUCCCGAAAUAAUCAAUGACCCGGUUAAAGAAGUUUGUCACAAGUAAGAGUGUGUAUAUAACCAUGAUGAGAGGAUAAAUUUUAUUGAAUCCUUUACCAAAGAAAGGUACAGCAUCAUCUAUGUUCCCCAUUCUCUGCAUUUAGUUGAUGUUACAUGAGACUUCAAGCAAAAUAAUAAAAAACCCUUAACGGAAAGAUUAACCCGAACCAAAUUUUUGUUUAGUAAAAAUGACAGAUUUAAAUGACUCUGAGACAGGGACUUCCACGGUUUAAGAAACUAAAAUAUUCCAAUAUACAUGCCACAGUAACAAACUUUCAUAUCCAUAGGUAAUUAUUCAACAAAUUUUUAUAAGAACUUAUCCCACUUGCAUCCUUAAUUUCUCAUGCCAAAAAAAUGCAUACAGUUUUUAUGGUAUAAAAUUGGUUCAUCCUUAAUUUCUGAUUCUACUUAUUUCAAGAUUCUUAGCAGAAAAUAUUGCACAAUUUCUGCAUCUUAAAAAAGUUAGUGUGAGCAAACAUCUUGUGAAGUAAUAAUAUUUCAACAUUACUCUAAGAGUAGCACCCUUUUGAUCAACAUCAAAUUUUUCUUCGAAAGGAACAGUGCUGCAUGGGCAUGAGGCAUAAUAAAAAUCAUUUAGAUGCCCCGUUACCUGUGCUCAUCAUAUAAAUCACAAUAGCAGUGGUACAAUAUAAGAACCACCAUCAAUUAUUUUGCAGAACUGAUGGAUAAAAUUGAAACAUUAAUAUCAUAGUAUAGCUGGAUGUUGUCAAGAAAAGCACAACAAAGUAGAAAAACCACUGACCUUCUCAAAGAUGGUUUUCCUAUUACCAGGGAGAUGGAUAAGGUUGAGAAAGUUGUAUGAAAUUGGUGGAGCAUAUCGUGCAACCAUCCUGAUAGACGUUUAGGAGUAAGAUCCAUUACAAGUUCUAAAAAUGAAAGGCCAAGUAAAAGUUGUAAGGAUAGAAGAAAAAGGAAGAAUUACGAGCAUAUCAUAAGCAAACUGAGUGAGCUAGUUUGUUUGGGGGUGAAUGAGUAGAACAUCAGCAUUCCAAUUUUGAACAAGGAAUAAUAGGUGCAGACACACAUAUACAUCAGAGGGAAGAAAGCAGCAACCUGAAAAUCAACACAGUAAUUUGAUAAUACCAAGCCCUUUGGCUGAUUGUGAAAAUAGAAUUUAAGAUUUCACUCAAAUUCACCAUUUAUUAACUUAAAUACAGUAGGGUGAUUGACCAAGGGUUGGUGGACAUCAAGAAGUCAUUCAAGUAAUACAAAUUUUGGAUUUCUUGUUCAUAGCAAUUAGCAAAUGGAUGAUUGAUUAUAUAGUGGACUUGUUGUUCCAACUCUUGGUUUUAAACAGGACAUGAAGGAGGCAAACAAAAUGUUAAGUGGUGGAUUUCUUCCUCAAAUAUAGGGACAAUGGGGUUUAGGAUAAAAUGGUAACAUCGAAUUGCUCACUCGAUUUCUACAGUUCAGUUCUCUGUUCUUAUGCUUGUGCUCCAAGCAGUUUACUCAUUUGAGACUCUAAAUAGUCCAAUUUGUUUCAAUAUAUUACCUGCACAAGCAUUUCCUGCUUUCCCACAGAGUUUAUGAGAAUGGAGAAAAGAGAUAAAUCAACUCCAUUGGGCAAUAUAGUAGCCUCUGCUAAAAGAAGGGCAGCUGACAUGCAACCCAGAAUAAUAGCCAAGAGUUUCUCCAGUUGCUUUCUUAGAACACAACGCCAAAUGAACUCUGUAAGGAAUAAAUAAUUAGUUUGAACAUUAUCUAACUUGAUGAUAAAUGAUAUAAGAGCAACUUAACAAAGAACCAUCAUUGCAAGUUCACAAAAAGUACUCCAUUUCAUAACUUAGAUAAAUUCAAAUGAUUAAGCAUAUUAUGUACGUAGGAUUUCAAAAAUUGACUUCAAUUUCAGCUCACUAAUUACCAUUGAGUACUAUUCUGGAAUAAGGACAAUUAGUUUGUAGCAUUCCAAACUUAAAGGAGAUGAAAAAGACCUUUGAAGGUGAAAGAAGACAGAUCAACUUGUUUUAUGCAGAUCCAGUCUGCCAUAAGGAAAUCAUUAGAAAGACUUAAACAGCAAAUCUUAAGCACCUAGAUGGUAGGUCAAUUUGGCACCUAAUAAAUUCCCCAGCCCCAAAUAAAAAUAAGAAAAAGGAAAGGAUUCAGAGUGGAGUAAUUACCAAGCAUAUCCAGAGAAGCCCCUAGUCUACCCUUUCGUUCAGGCCUGAAGCUUGAAAUAAGUUUCCUGCAACAUUUUAAAAUGAAUGUUGGCACACUUUCAAGAAGAAGAAAAAGAAGGAAAAACACUUUUAACAAUAAUAAAUAGAGGACUUGUAUAGCACACAAACACUGCAAAAUAUAAAACUGACUUCUAAACUUAUAUUUUAGAUGUAUUUAGAUUAAUUAUUCUGUCUAAUCUCGGUUCACCUUUAAGGUAAAAUGCCAGAUGCAAUAACUCUCAAUAUAUUAAACAUUUUUUAGCAUGCCUACCAUGAAGAAUACAAGAACCUUAUUUAGAUAAAUUAUUCAGUCUAAUGUUGGUCCACCUUUUAGGUAAAUGGUUAGAUGCAAUAACUCUCAAUAUCAAACAUUUUUGAGCAUGGCUAAUAUUCCCUCCAAUUUCAAGGGGAAUCAUUUGUUGAAUAAAAUAUAUCAAUGAAUACCUCCAAACAAGUUCUUACUCUUAGUAAAACUAACCUCAAUUAUUAUUUCAAGUGGGCUCUCCUUCCUUGAGCAAGCCUCAUUCACAGUUAUGCACAUAUAAAUUGGUUAUUUGACAACCUACACAGAAAUGAUUGAUUUCUAGAGCUUUGUCUCUUUCUCAAUACUACAUCCUGUAAAUCUCCAUAGCAUGCUUACCUGUAUUAUUUAUGCCAUGAAACAUUGAGAACAUCUUAUUGAAUAAAUCAGCUACUCAUUUUCAUGCUCACUUAUAUGCUAAUGCAUACAUGAUGAUGAACAAAUCAGAAAAGGCUGGGCAAAUAACUAUAAUGCCCCUAAUAUCGAAAUAUUCUACAUGGAAGCAUGACUACUAGCUGAAAAAUACAAAGUAAAACACAAAAUAAAGUUGUAAAUGCACCUUUUGUUGAACAUACAACUAAAUGACUAUGAGAGAGAGACCAAAUUAAAAUAUAACUGCUAAUUUAAAAGUACAGAAUGAAGCGCAAAAGAAAGUUGUAAAUGCAACUUCCGCCAUGAGUGUGUCACAGAGAGAGAGAGAGAAAUUUAAUCAAAGGUAAGUUGACAGGAAAGUAGAACAAAGGGGAGGGAGGGAGAAGGGGGGGCGGCUAGAAGGAUUUUAAGACAAUUCAGUUUCCAAAGGUCAGACAAGGAAAUGGGCCCCAUAGCAAGAACAAAUUCAGACACAUGUAAUGAUUCCAGAAUUUGAGUCUAAAGUUGAUGUUUUGCAUAUGAAAUUAGAAAAAAAAAAAAGCAUAUAACUUAAUAAGCAUGCAAGUCUUAUUUAGAUGCAAAGUGCAAACCAUCCAGUUGCAUCACGGCGCUCAUAGUUUUUGACCGUAUCUUCCAGCUCAAGGGCUUCCAAGACAAUGCUCAUAUUUUCACUGCAAAAGCCUAAGAGUUAACUUUCAUUACCACUGGAAAAAACUCACUUGGAAGCAAAGUACAGCAACAUCAUUCAUUGAUAAAUCUUUAAGAUACAAAAACCAUGCUUGACAGAGAAAGUAAUUGGUACUUAUAAGUAAUCUACCAUAUUUGAUCUGUCCCUAAAAGAGAUGUCAAAAGAGAGAAAAUAGCAGCAGUUCUUCUAAAAAUACAAGGAGCAGAAACUAAGUUUAGCAUUGUUUUUCAUCAUGUGCAAAUUACAUAUCAAUAGACAAAUUCACAUGAAUCUGCAGGUUUCUUCCGAGCAAUGCAAACAUUUAGGCAGUUAAUUUCACAACGCCAAUACAAAAUGUCUUAAAAGUACAUUAUUGCCAUGAAAAAUUUAGCAUAAUGACACACAAUCAAACAACAGUACUCCUUUGAUUCUGAAAUAUAGUACUAUACCAGCCAUUAAAAAUUUUAACUAACCACAUUACAGUGUAACUUCGAUACCGACAGUACUCCUCUCUUGCUAUCCUAAGCCAGCGUCUAAGUGUCGCCAUUGAUUUCUCAUCAGUGUCAUAGCCCAUAUCAUUCUCCCCAAACCUCCCACCUUGAGGUUUGAAGGAGGGAUCUUCUUUUAACUGCAAAAUAGGAAAUAAAAUAUUGGAGGAAAUCACAUAAAAUUCCACUUUGAGACUAAACAGACCAUAGACAGAAGUGGAGCACCAUUUGAUGCAACAUGCUAUCAAUAAUAUUCAUGUACGGUCGUAAAGGAUCACGCUUCGAUAUCUGAUUUGACGUGGCCUGAGCAACCUGUCAAAUGCACCUUCAUUAGCUGUGAAGGGAAAAAGAUAAUAACUCAAAGUUAUCUCUAGCAACCUGAAUUAGAAAUAAUAAACUGGAAUAUGAGAGAGAAUAAUGUUCCAAUAAUAAAACAAUUCUGGAGAUAUUUGACACAAGUCUUGAAAUUUUUGCUUUCAGACAAGCAUCAAUAACAUAUCCGUAUUUGUUAUGGUUACCCUCAAUAAAGUAUUUUGCGCUCUCGAAGAAUCAUUUUUCUAGCUUGCUUAGUUUAGAGCUUUGUAAAACUUCAUCCCAUAUCCGGUGUAUUAAUCUUGCCAAUAACUUCUUUGGAGAAGCUUUACUACAUUUGGAGAACUGUACUUCAUUGCAUUAUGUUCACCUUAAUGGCAAUGGACUGUCAGGAACUUUCCCUGAGAAUUUAUUCCGGUUACAACAUCUUAGAAUACUGCACCUUCAAGAAAAUAGGUUUUCAGGGCCUCUGCAUUACGGAAUUAGUAACCUCCCUAACCUUGUUGAACUGGAUAUCUCCUCCAAUGGGUUCAAUGGAAGUCUCCCAGAUGUUGUUGGGAGACUGAGAAAGCUGGAUUCCUUCUCUGCCGGCUCAAAUAGAUUAACUGGCUUAUUGCCUAUUUCUUUGGUGAAUUCUCCUUCGCUUUCCAUAGUUGAUCUGCGCAACAAUAGUUUGGAUGGUCCGAUCAAUAUAAAUUGUUCUGCAAUGACCCGUAUCGCUUCGCUUCGUCUUGCUUCCAAUAAUUUUCAGGGGCCAGUUUCUGAUCUAUCCUCUUGCCAGAGCUUGAGAACUCUGGAUCUUGCACGCAACAAACUUGGUGGUGAGGUUCCAUUCCACUUUAAAAAUCUCCAGGCACUGAAAUUCCUCACUCUCCAAGACUCUGGCAUUAUUAAUAUAUCCACAGCACUUGAGAUUCUACAACACUGCAAGAACUUGACUAUAUUGGUCCUUGGUUUGAACUUUUAUCACGAAGAGAUGCCUAGCAACGUGAAUUUGAAGUUCAGAAGUCUCAAGGCACUUAUUAUUCCAAAUUGUCACCUUAGAGGUUCCCUUCCACUUUGGUUGAGUGGUUGCAACAUGUUGCAAUUGCUGGAUCUGUCUUGGAAUUCUUUGGGCGGGUCCAUUCCAUUCUGGCUAGGCAACUUCAUCUAUCUCUUUUACUUGGACUUGUCUAAUAAUACCUUUUCGGGAGAGAUACCAGAAAGUUUAACUGGACUAGAAAGUCUUGUUCACAAUACUGUUCUACUGAAAGAACUCCCUGCAGAUUUGCGACUGGUGAAAGGCACGGAGCACGGUGGGCGCUUGCUGUAUAAAAAUAUAUGGAGCUUUCCACCGACUAUCGCCUUAAGUUGCAACAAGCUUACAGGACCAAUCUGGCCAAGCUUUGGGAAUUUGAAAAACCUCCAUGUUUUGAGUCUGAAUGGGAACGACCUUUCAGGAACCAUUCCAGAUAGUAUGUCGGAGAUGACAAGCUUAGAACAGUUGGAUUUGUCACGUAACAAGCUCUCAGGCGAAAUACCUAAUUCCCUGAUACAUCUC